rnacentral:rRNA from 1 species
GUUGAACGCUGGCGGCAUGCUUUACACAUGCAAGUCGAACGGUAACAGGCCGCCAGGUGCUGACGAGUGGCGAACGGGUGUGUAAUGCAUCGGAACGUGCACAGUCGUGGGGGAUAACUAUCCGAAAGCAUAGCUAAUACCGCAUACGCUCUGCGGAGGAAAGCGGGGGACCUUCGGGCCUCGCGCGAUAGGCGCGGCCGAUGUCAGAUUAGGUGGUUGGGGGGGUAAAGGCUCACCAAGCCAACGAUCUGUAGCUGGUCUGAGAGGACGACCGGCGAAACUGGGACUGAGACACGGCCCAGACUCCUACGGGGGGCAGCAGUGGGGAAUUUUGGACAAUGGGCGCAAGCCUGAUCCAGCAAUGCCGCGUGCAGGAAGAAGGCCUUCGGGUUGUAAACUGCUUUUGUACGGAACGAAACGGCUCUGGUUAAUACCUGGGGCUAAUGACGGUACCGUAAGAAUAAGCACCGGCUAACUACGUGCCAGCCGCCGCAGUAA